rnacentral:lncRNA from 1 species
GGAGAAGAGCAAUAAGUUCCUUCAGAGAAAUAAGUGCAUCGCUAUGGAUUUCCAUGGAAGCACAACUGCAAAACUGCUGUGUGUUGAAGUGAAGCAGCUUUGCCUGCUGCCUCCUUCCCUGCACUUCUUCAAGGUACCACAGCAGUGCUCAGGUGUUUGUCUGUCUGCUCAGUGGAACAGGAAUCUCAGAGGCAGAUACCAGGCAGAGGAAGUAAGGUUCCAGCCAAGAAGAUUUAGAGUGGAAGGGAAGUAACUGUGCUUAAUGGGGCGGAGAAAAGGAAGGUUUAGGCAAAAGCUGAACUUUGUGGAAUUGAGUCUGGCAGGAUGUCGUUGGAGACCCGUGAUUAAAACGCUGCUGAAAGUAACAGAAAAUCACUCCAAGUAAGAACCUGCCCC